CCGGUGUGUUGUCAGUGUUCUUCUCGACAGCUCAAUUUUGGAGGUUUCUUACCUGUGCCCAGGGAUGAAGCAAACCUUCCUUACUGGGUCCCUCGGUCACUAAGACCCCACAAGCUGGUCCAGAGGAAAUCCCGAUUCUCUUUCUCAGGAAAGCCCAGGUCCUGUGUCUGUUCCUGUCACAGCUUUGGGGGUCACCUCCCUGUUCCAAGAGAGCUUGCUGCACUCCCUUAUUGGGUGCCUCGAUCAAUCAGGUUCCCAGGGAAGGUGAAUAAGAACUCAGAUUUCAUCUGGACCAAAGGAAGUUUCUCCAGUGGCUUCUGUUACUUCCACAACCAAUGGCGCAUCUGCUGUGAUGAGGAGCCGCUGCAGAG